rnacentral:rRNA from 1 species
UUUCAUUGGUAUUAAUAGUUAAGAUCUUUAAAUUAAAAGAAUUUGACGGUAAUUUAUCAUUUCAGAGGAACCUGUCCUUUAAUCGAUAAUCCACGUUAAAUUUUACCUUGAUUUUUUGCUUAUAUACCUCUGUUUUUGGAGUGUUUUAUUAGAAUUUAUUCUCUUGAAUUAUUUUAUAAUUUAUAUCAGGUCAAGGUUUAGCUAUAUUAAGGUUGAGAUGGGUUACAUUUAAUUGUAUUAUUGGAUUUUUAUAUUUAUUUAUAAAUUGAAAUUGGAUUUGAUUGUAAUUUAUAUUAUUUUUUAUUUAUGAUAUUUGUUCUAGAUUAAG